AUGUCUUGCCAUGACCAUAGCCGAUUUGAUGAAGGAACUACAUCAGAUACAUCUCUCUCUCCAAUUUCUCUGUCUGGGAAUUGUGGAACCCCUAGGGUACAUAUGACUGAGGAUUCUGCAUCUGCAGCCCAUUCAAUGACCAAAUCACUCAAGUCACAUCGAUUCUUUCUCUUCACCUACUCUAGACAAAUACAAAAGGAACAGCCUUGGAAAGUUGGCGACUUCAGUAUGAUAUUCUUCGUUUCAAAGACCAGGCAAACAUGUGUCACGUGCCAAUGAUGCUAGCACAAAGAAUGAAGCUUCUACUUUGGGCGGUUGGAGUCUGGGUGACGCCAAGGAAGACUUUGAAGUGGAUUAUUGUUACGAUGCCUUGACCAGAGAAAUAACCUAUGAGCAUGUGGGACAGCGAUUAUGCAUCCAUGUGUCAUUCAUAUAAAUUCUUUCUCUUCUCCUACUCUAAACAAAUAUAGAAGGAACAGCCUCGGAGUUGUUGGCAACUUCAGUAUGACAUUAUUCUUUUCCAAGACGGACCAAACAUGCAUCGCAUGCCAAUGCUGUUAGCACAAAGAAUGAAGCUUCUCCUUUGGGCAGUUGGAGUUAGGGCACCCCAGGCUGGACAUUAAAGUUGGUUUUUCUUACGACACUUUGGCUGGAGCUAUAGCCCAUGAGCAGAGUGGAUGGCGAUUAUGCAUGCAUGUGUGCAAUUUUGUUCAUCGGUGCACGUUCCAUCGUCUUCUUCACUACUUGUGCUGACGGCAAUGGGAGGGCACUCUGCAAGUGAGAGGAGCUGAUUGUGUACAGGACUGGGGGAAUGCUCGUGCAGCCAAGUUUUUCCAUUGAUAAUGAGAUCGCAGGGAUUAAGCAUUGCUUAAUUCUUUGAAAGUGACAAAAACAUGAUCACCCCUUCGCUCCCUGAUAAAGGCUCAAGUGUUUGCCUACUACAGUGUCAUUUUUGUUGUUAUCUUCCUCAAUUGUUGACACACACAGUAAACAAGCUGUAUGAUUCCAUAAAUUGUUCUUCCAGCUAUCAUAUCUUAUAACUAAAAUGGGUCACUCCAUCAUCCAUUGUAAUUCUUUUCAGUUGACGUAAU